UCACCAUCGGGUGACUAGGAUGAAGGAAAUUGUGCCCUGCGACUUUCCGUACCGGGGCUUGCAUCCGUUCCCUCUUCCCUUCUCAAUUAGGCGCGACACUUGGGCCGGAAGCACAACCUUUUUAACGGUUCUUUGCUCUUCUCGGAGGGCGGUCGGCCCCUGGUGGCCUCGGAGACUCUUGAGACGGCCAGCCACAACCCCUUUCUUACUUGAGCGCCUCCACAAAUAACGCUGCUUUGGUCUUCCCUCUCGCAUUACUUUCGGAUGACGCGUGAGAACGUGUUUCGGAGGGUAGGAAGCUGUGCAAAUUAUCGGGCUGCUUUUAAGGAUCCCCAGGGACCCGCAGUUUUGCCGCGUCAAACCCCUAUGUUCGCAGCAAGUGGACAGAACGUAAGAUCUGGAGUCCCGCCGACCCAGGAAGCGCUGUCACACCUUUAUACAAGCUUGGUGACCUUAAUCCAGUUUCGUAGCCUGCCUGAGAUGAAGUUUGCCUGUGCGUCUGAUACUUUUACAUUCGAAAAAUAAAAUGAAACUCAUUUUCACACACAGAUGUGUUAGGGAUCCAUACGUGAGCGUAACAGUAAGCAGAGUCACUGCGCCAGGACAAAUAAACAUGAACAGCGGAGGCUUCCCACUUCCUCCACUUGGCUCCAGCAUGUGGCAAGUGUCGGGUUACCUCUGAUGAGGGGACUGCUUUAGCCUGCUUGGGCUCUUCCUUCA